UCAAGCUUUGCACGGCUUUUUAGUCACUUUUUUUUUCAAACAUGCCAAAACUAGCAGAGCUGUUGCUUUGAAAUUUCACCAUUUAUUCUAAUUGUCCAUUCCCCUGUGCACUACAGGAAUGGUUUUCAGAGAGAACCACUGGGACUACAUUCUGAACUUCUACUUCAGACAGAACUCCCACUGCAAUGUUGGCAAUCUAACUGGAGUGUGGACACUGGCAUUCACAAAGCAAGCUUUGGGGGAGUCCAAAUCCCCAGUGGUCAGGGCUGGCAGAAUCAGCUGGAAGGGUGAUCUCUGGAAGUACUGGCAGGACUCUCAGAGGGGCUAGGUUGUAAGGGAUCCACCUGGAGCCUGACACCUGUAACCAGAGCUGGAAGUGAGGAUGUAAAAGGACUAGGCUGUGCCCUCCUGGAUAGAUCAAGCCAGCCAGCUCCCCAUCACCCCUGGAGGCUGCUCUCCAGGGGUGGCAUCCCUGGCAGGGGGCCAAGCAGGAUUUGGUCUCCACCGCAGCUAGUACUUGAUGCUUCAGAGGACCAGAAAGGAGCAGUUACAGCAUUUUUUGCCAGUGGGAUGGAGGUUUUUCCUUCCCAGCAAGAGCCAAACAGCAGGGUUUACAUCAGGGGUGGGCAAAAUGCAGGCCGCGGGCCAGAUGCGGCCUGCCAGGCCAUUCUAUCCGGCCUGCGGGGCCCCUAAAAAUGUAGAAAAUUCAUAUUUAUCUGCCCCUGGCGGCCUGUCAUGCGGCCCUCGAUGGCUUGCCAAAACUCAGGAAGCGGCCCUCCGCCCGAAAUAACUGCCCUCCCCUGGUGUACAUCAUCUUGCGAAUCUGGGGGCACUUCCAUAGCGGCACUUCGUGCGCUUGCCCCAUGGCCCGCCCCGUCUGGAAGCGGCUCUUUGCUCCGCACGGCGGCGUUUCGCCGUGGGGGUUUAGCGCAACGGGGACUCUUGCGCUGCCCACAGCCCUUGUCCCGCGCCCGUGCUGCCGCCCGCACUUACCCCGCUGCCCCCGCGCCGGCCGCCCGCUCAGCCCCGGCC